AUUCAGCUAAAACUCAGGGCUUAAUUAUUGAGGAAGGGGAGAGAAAACAUUGAGUUAUAUUUGGCAGUCUUUGAUUCACAUAGCUAGGUCAUACAGUUCUGUGAGUGAGGCUUAGCCAAGGUUUAAAAACCUGAUUGUGAUAAUCUCACAGUGGCCACCGUCUCUCAUGAUAAUCUUGUGAUGGCUGCUCUGUCUGUAAGAACUAGUAAGUUAGGACUAGCCAAAGAAGAUAAGAUUUAGCCAUGCAUUUGAUUCUGUGCUUUAAGAAUGUCUAUCCUUAGACUUGAAUAAGUAUAUACUUUUGUGCAUACUUACACAGUUAAUUCUGCGUUGUUAAUCUACGUCUAAGCUUUUGAGAAUAUACUGCUGUAUUUUACUGCAAGAUGAAGGGCUUGUGAAGUAAUGUCUUUAUAGUAGCAACUAAAAUGACAAGUUGUUUCCGUCAUUCGUUUUUAUAAGAGCUAACAUGGUAAAACAGAUAGCCACGGGUGCGCAUGGUUUAUUAUAAUGCUGAGAGUUUCCAAGUGUUACAUGUUUCUUCUUUGGCUUCCCAACUUACGCUGCCAUUGGUGUCCACGCAGCUGUCUUGCUUUCACAUUCCUGUGACCUCAGUUAUUUGAGGAGGUGUUAUAAAGAAGUUCUUGGAGUUGGACCAUGGACCAAAGUCUGAAACAUUAUCAUUUUAUAGUACAACACACCUUUUCUCAUGGUAGGUGUGGUCCAGGGAGAAGGGACUCUCUCAGUUUGCUCACAAGGAGCAAUAUUUAAUUAACUGCCAUGUAGAGGGGAAAUAGAAUUAAAAUUAAGUUCUUAUUUCACAUCAGAGGUUAUAGAUUAGAUAUUUAUGCUCUUAGAGUAUGAUUCUAG
rnacentral:lncRNA from 1 species